AAACACAGAAAAUCAUUUAUUUCAAGUGCAAGUGUUAAAAUUAGGACCGGGUUUUGAUUUCAUUAAUGUUAUUUCUUAUAUAGAAUUUUCCUUAUACGGUGCGAUAUAUUGUAUUCCUUAAAAUUUUAAUUUUAAGGCUAAAAAAUGGGGAGCACAGGAGCAUGUUGCGCAAAGCUAUUUCUUGGAAUAUUAAAUACACUAUUUCUGCUCAUUGGACUGGCGCUGAUCGCCGCCGGUUCUCUGGUUGUCGUGGGAUCUGAUUUCAUAGCCUCGGCGCUAAAAGCCUUUGAGGGAAUUCCCGCGAUAUCCAACGUGGUCAGUGGUUUGGCAUGGGCCCUGAUCGGACUGGGGAUAUUCCUAGUCGUUAUGGGGGUGCUAGGAGGAUGCGGCGCUUGUUGUAGUAUCAAAGUCUUCCUGAUUGGCUAUGUGGUCGUCAUGAUCAUCCUUAUUGUGGCUGAGAUCACGUUCGUCGCACUUUUGUUUUCAGACACGCUCAAAAACUUGCUGUCAGAUCCCCUGACCAAGGAGAUAAAGAAGUACCAGCCAAUCCUUGAUUCCGGUGGUAAUUUCAACACAGAUCCGCAAAGCAGAGCUAUGGAUCUCCUAUUUAUAAAUGUAAUUUCAGAGAGAGAGAGAGAGAGAGAGAGAGAGAGAGAGAGAGAGAGAGAGAGAGAUUAACAAGACUUUAUUUAUUUUGGUAUAGAUGCAGUGCUGUGGAUGGAAUGAUUACAAUGAUUUACCAAGUGUGCCGCAGUCCUGUUGUAAAGGUUUCUCGGAAGACAUCCUGAACGCAGCCAAUCCCUCGUCAAUAAAUGCCCAUACUUGUACAAAAUUAACACCUACAUUUUUCAACAGAGGGUGCUACAAGGCUGUGAUAGACCUGAUCGAGGACAAUAAACCCAUGACCAUAGGAAUCCUGGUGGGGCUGUUUGUGUUUCAGAUUCUAUGCAUUGUGUUUGCGAUAUGGAUUGUGAAGGACAGUUCCAAAAUCAACCCUGUCGAUUAACCUAGACACGUGGUGUCGCCUUGAUUAGAUAAAUACCGUUUAUUAUUUCUCAUGAUCAAAAUACGGAAAUGAAGAGAAAAGUUAGUGUUGACGUGAUAGUCUAAACAACACAGUAUCGUUAUUCAGAACAGUGGUUUCGAUGCAUCCCAAUCACCUCUUUAUCAUGCAAUGACAAAUGACACUGUAGACUUUCAAGAACUCUGAACAUUUCUUUUAAAAAUUUGAGUGUUUUUAUCUAUUCUUGAUAUACGUAUGAUCAUUUUCAUAAAAUAAUGCAUUUGCAUGUUUUUGUUCUCAAAUGCUUGAAUAUAUUUUAUCGUGUAUUGCGAUUCGGGGGGUUACACUUGAUGGAAUUUUAAACAAUUGAAAUCACAUGAAGUCAAACUAGAACGUGAAUGGUCAGAAUUGUUCAUUUUUCGACAAACACAAUUUAUAUUUUUUCAUUCCAAUAUUACACAUUUGUUUUGGUUAGAUUUAAGUGCUAGCUGAUCACUUAGAGCAAUGCGUUUUACAAUGUAAAGUGUCCUCGUGUUUUACCUAUUCACGGAUUACUUCUCUUGGCUGGGGAAAUAUUUUGAUAACUGAUUACACGAAUAUUCAUUUCUAACUGAAAAAGGAAAAUGAAAGCAGUUUUGUUUCUCAAUAGACAACACAAUUCAUUAUUUUCAGUAAAUUAUUUGUAACUAGAAAUAUGUAUCUUUUUUAAAAUAAAUUAAGUCAAAAUUGCAAUUACGAGACAUGAAAGACUUUCUUUUAACGCCCUCAUCAUCCGUCCGUUACUUUUUGAAAUAUUGCCAGCUAAAUAUACCGUACGUCGUGCCAUUAUUUAAAUUGAAUGGUUUGGGUUUUUUUUUUUCAUUUAUACAUUGAUAAAAGCUUUAAAUACUUAUCUUUGACUGUUUUCUUUUGUGCCAAUUUCUUUUCAUUAUGUUGUGUUUUAUCGAUCAUUAAACCGCUUUGAAUAAAAAAUAUGGUAACUCC
rnacentral:misc_RNA from 1 species